AGUUUCAGAUAAAUAAUAGACAUUUCUUUUUGCUCAUGCUGGCUCACGCAGCUCAGGCGGGGCUCCGCCCACAGCGCCCCUAUAUACCGGCCGCCACUGCUGCUGAAAUGAAGUGUUUU